rnacentral:misc_RNA from 1 species
AAGUCGUAACAAGGUUUCCGUAGGUGAACCUGCGGAAGGAUCAUUCAUAAUUGAGUGUUUUAUGGCACUCUUUAAAAAAAUCCAUAUCCACCUUGUGUGCAAUGUUUUUGGACUCUCUGUACGUUGAUAUCCCUUUGGGUCCGAUAGGACUUUAGGGGAAGGAAAACCUUAAGAGGGUUUGAUUAACUUAACACCUUUAAAGCAGUUUGUCUGAAUAUCUAUUUCUGAAUAAACAUAAUUCAAAAAUACAACUUUCAACAACGGAUCUCUUGGCUCUC